GCUGCCCCUAGAGACAUUGCAGGAAUGGCUGCUCUGUCACACAUGCAUCAAUACAUGGCAGAGAGGAGAGAUGCGAUGUCUAAGCUUAGUGUUAUAACCUGUGAACAUCUAAAUGAUUGGAUGCCUAACAUC
ensembl:snoRNA Gm24006 small nucleolar RNA SNORA17